rnacentral:pre_miRNA from 1 species
GAUUUCAACUGAAAAAGUCAUCAACAUCAAAGUUGUAUAACUCAUCAAUAUCUAUAACUUUUAUUUUGGUUAUUUCUUCAUUUAGUAAAGGGAUAGUAACAUUGUUCACAAAAUUAACAUAUCUAUCUUAUAGUUUAUAAACUAUAUAAGACAUAUGUAUAUUUUGUGAAUAUUGUUAUAAAUCGUUUUGUCGGAUGAAGAAAUGACCCAAAUAAAAAUUAUAGAUCUUGAUAAGUUAUACAACUUUGAUGUUAAUGAACUUUUCAGUUAAAAUC